rnacentral:rRNA from 1 species
ACGGAGGAUGCGAGCGUUAUCCGGAUUUAUUGGGCUUAAAGGGUGCGUAGGCGGAUAGAUAAGUCAGAGGUGAAAACCUGCAGCUUAACUGUAGAAUUGCCGUUGAUACUGUCAGUCUUGAGUAUGGUCAAGGUAGGCGGAAUGUGUAAUGUAGCGGUGAAAUGCUUAGAUAUUACGCGGAACACCGAUUGCGAAGGCAGCUUGCUGGACCAAUUCUGACGCUGAUGCACGAAGGCGUGGGGAGCGAACAG